AGUGAAAUUGCUGGGUCAUAUGUAACUCUGUACCUUUAAAAGAAAUUUCUAAACUGUUUUCCAAAGUAUUUGUACCAUUUUACACUCCCACCAGCAAU
rnacentral:pre_miRNA from 1 species